rnacentral:lncRNA from 1 species
GGGGGUGUCUCAUAUUUAGGUGUGUUUUAGAUAGAAAUAUCACGGGUAGUGAUUAGGUGCGAAAGCUGUAAACCGGAGGUAGUUUAUGUAGGACUUCAAACUAAUAUUUUAUAGUCGAUUUCCUUCAUAGCUUGAAUGCCCCCAGAUGUAGGUGACGUUGCACCUAACUAAUUAGCAAAUAACUUGUGCCAUUUAAUUUCUGCAAUUUACUUUAACUUGUUAUUUGUUAAUUGUGUUGCUAAGUUGUUAAUUACAUUGUGCUCGACAUUCCGUAUGUUUUGACAUCAUGUUCGACAUAUUUUACUACCUGCCAGAAUUUCAAUUAUCUUUGUUUUUAUCAUGAAUAUAAGUGGCAUUGUAGCCACACAAAAAUGUAUUAGGUUAAUGUAAUUUGUAUGCCUAGAAUUGUAUCUAGUAGACUCAUGUAUUUUUUUAUUUUUUUGAGACUCAUGUAUGCUUAUAAAUGCAUGAAUGAAUAUAAUUAUGUGAUAAUCAUGAUGUUAUCCUUAUUUAAUUCACAUGAUUACAUUUUUAUUUAUUACAAUUCAUCUGCAGUUCUUCAUGCCAGUGACGUUUUUACUCUCCUCCCUAUAUCUUGUUAUAAGUUUAUAGGAAACCAAAUUACAUUUAUAAAUUCAAAUUGCAGAAACACAUAGUCGCAACGCACUUUGAAAUACCAUGUGUCGCACAUAUCUGAUCACAAUCUCCGUCAUUCUGGCAUCGAUAAAUAUAUUUUACUGCAAUGUAAACCAUCAAAUAUAAUUAGGGUCAAUAAAAGAGACGAAAGUUUGUGUGUAAAAUAAUAAAGAAAAUAAUGAAUAAAAUUUGAGAGGAUGAAAAAAAAUAUACGAUAAUCAUCUGAGGCUGCAUCGUGAAGCAGAAAAAGACAUAUGAUCAUAAUAAUAUAAGCAACCUUGAGAAUUGCAGUCAUGUUUCUUCUCCUUUGGAUGUAACAAAUAGAAAAUU